rnacentral:rRNA from 1 species
AACGAACGCUGGCGGCGUGGCUAAGACAUGCAAGUCGAACGGACUGUCCAAUUUAUUGAACAGUUAGUGGCGAAAGGGUUAGUAACGGAUGGGUAACGUACCCUGUGCUUUGGGAUAGCGUCAGUUACUUCGGUAACUUUCCGAAAGGGGCGGUAAUACCAAAUAAUAUCAUUUGUCGAUAGGCAGAUGAUCAAAGAUUUAUCGGCACGGGAGCGGCCUGUCUCCUAUCAGCUUGUUGGUGAGGUAAUGGCUCACCAAGGCAUCGACGGGUAGCGGGACUGAGAGGUUGACCCGCAACAUCGGGACUGAGACACUGCCCGGACCUCCACGGAGGGCUGCAGUAACGGAUAUUGUGCAAUGGGCGAAAGCCUGACACAGCGACGCCGCGUGUAGGAGGAAGUCUUUCGGGAUGUAAACUACUGUCAGGGGGAAGAAAGUGCGCUUCGGCGUAUGAUCUAACC